GACAGCUGUUGGGUGCGCAGAUGUACAUUUGUCUGGGUGAAGGGGACUGAUAGAGUGACGUUUCCCUCAUACAACCAGUUGUAACACUGACACAGCUCAUACUAACAUCUGAACUCAAUAGGUUCUCUCAUAACUCGGGCUCUUUCAUAACGCGUCACGAGGGAGGCGGGGUUUGCCUAUUGCACGUCAUUGUCGGGGGCCGUCCUGCACGGCUCGUCACGGAGAGGGCGGAGCUUGCAGUAAAUACUUGUCCCUCAGACGCACUGUUGCAGGGGCCCAGGGAACUGAGGAUGGGCCCACGACGAUGCUAGAAAGAGGAGGAGGAUGGGCAGUGCUGCACUUCGCUGUUUCUGCUAUGGCUGCCUCUUCACAUCCGUGACCUAAACUAUUAUACUUUUCAUUUACUUUAACUGCAGAGAGGAGCAGCAAGGCUUCAGACAUGUGCCCAUCAAGGGGUUGGAGCCGUAUAAGCCUCUUCCAUAAUAAUCUACCCUCGCUACUCCGCUGGGCAGCUCAUUGACUCCCGCAAGGGCCACAAUGGAAAUCAGCUGGAUACAGAGGCUGAAACCAAUGCAGACCUCUCCCCGGAAUUGGGUGAGCCCCCAAAUUGCUGCGUUCAUUAGUAAAGUCAUGUGGGCACUGCUGGUUCGGUCUCUUGAAAUAAUGUAACGCAAAUCUGCCUUGCAUGCUUCUUCACAGGCAUGAUCUUCAAUGAACAAGAUCAGGAUGUGAGAGACGUUGGUUACCAGAAGCACGCCUUCAAUCUGUUAAUCAGCAAUAGACUCGGCUACCACAGAGACCUGCCAGACACAAGGGACUCCAAGAACGAUGACGUCCUCAAAAUCACGUGCCUUUAUUUUUUUGCUUCACAAUAAAUCAUCUGGUCCAGUAGCCCACAGAAAAUUCCGUCUGUCUUCUCUUCAUCUUUUGUGGACUACAUUGGGCUUGGAGGAGCUGUGGAUUGAGGACUGUUGUCAACACAUAAGUGGUGCAAAUGGUGAUGCCAUCCUCUUUUUUUUCCUAUUUUGAAACUUGGUGCAUAAAAAUUUGAACAGAAAAGUUCAUCACAGCUUAAGGAUAUAAUUACAUAUUUCACUCAUAGGGCCAACCACAUUAUGGUUGUUUUGGAAUGUAAAGAAAAGGCCUUGCCUUUCACAUUAACCCAAUUAUUAUAAGGUUUCAUGGCAAUACAGAUAGGCUGAUCUGUUGCGCUAUGGAUUCUAGCACACGUUUUGCUUAUUCCUCCUUUAUAUAGACUUUAAAGGGGAAGGAAACCUAGUCGGCGCAAACCCCCCACCCCCCCACCCGUUUGUUGCCCCCCCUCCC